AAUAGUACAAUACUUUUUGAGAAUAUGUUCAUUGUAAGUGCGAUUUCUAAGAUAACUAAAACAAUGAAAAACAAAUAACAUAAUAAUAUUCAUUACGAAUGCCGCUAAUUAUCAAUAACACCUUUUUUUAUUCAAGUUUGAUAUGAUUACAUUAAAGAACACCUCUACUUUAUGUUGGAGGCAAUUACAAUUGAACCGGUAGAAGUGGAAUGUAGUGAAAGCCUUGUCUUACCACCCCAAAUAACCAAUGCUACCACCAACUUUCCCUAUAUCCCAUUAUAUUAUUGGAUGUUUGAGGAAAAAACACUGUGAACUCUCAUGCAUAUAAUUUUUAGAGAUUGUCAUGUUGGUCACAUGGAGGAACAAUGGAAUCUACCAUUUAUCCCCAACACUUCAUUUUCUUUCUCCAUCAGAGUAAUCAACCGAACCUCUUUAAAAAAAUUGUGUUUCUUUAUUUCUCUAUUUUUUAUACGAAUCUCCAUUUGGCUAUAGCAUGAUGACCUUUUUCUCCUUCUCAAAGGAAAAAAGAAAGAGGAUUCACUUGCUAUUGUAAAUUGACCCUACAAAAUUCAUCGCCAAACAAAAUGUAACAACUGACAGCGAAAUUGUAUCAACAGUAGGUGCAAAAGAGUCGACAUUACAUUUUUCAUGUGUCAAAUGUUUUUUGCGUGAGAGAUCCACUACAAUAAAGAGUACAUGAUGUAAUAUCAAAAAAAGUAUAUCAUGUUGGAUUAUGUGCUAAACCAGACUUUGCUUUACUAUAUUUUUUUUCUACUGCUAUAUAAGCCUUUUAUUAAACGUGAAAUGCCAAAAGGAAAUUCUAGUUAUGAAAUAACAUAGGAAUACCAGGAUAUUUACAUCAGUGCGCUCAAUAACUCCAAAAUUAAGGUGGAUCCCAAAACUAGACACGUUAGAAGGUUUGGUUCUGGAGUUUGAUACAAGAAAAACCUGUGGGUGAAGAACUGAUGGGCCCUGUUGGUAUCCAUCAAAAGGGCUUUUCAUUGGGCCCAGAGUCAUGGUCAACCGUCACAUCAUCCUACGCCUGACAUAAUGUUUUGCACGUUUUGCUUCUAAUGUGGGGAUCUAGAUCGCCUAAAGUCUAAAUCUUCUGGAAUCAUGCACUCGAACAUCGAAAACCGUCGAUCACGAACGAAAACCAGACCCCUAACGGACAGUGUAACCUAUUUUCAUCCCUAGUUGAGAACAAAUCAAGUUCCAAUCAUGGCUGGUGGAUCAUUCAAUGAAAUUGGUGCGAUCUCAACAAGGGGGGAAGUUAGGGUUUGAAGAGAAGCUGAAUAAGGAUAUAGAGAAGUUAGAGAGUUGUUGAUAUUAAUUGUUUUUGAAGUAAAAUAUCGCUUUUUUCCUUUGUUGUGAGUUUUUUAUGUUUGCAAACAAUACCCUCCUUCAUAAUUUUAAGUGAGUAGCACCAAAUAAAUAUAAGAAGUCAAUAUUUAAUUAUCCAACUCAAAUUCAAGCUUUGACAUAGAAUUAUCAAACUAGAGUAUAAUGAAGUGGAUUUGGAUAUGAGAUCAUUACGUUUCCACUUUUUCGUGAUUAACCUGUUGGAUUUUGGGCCCUUCAAGCGUGGAAACUUUUUCCUCCUCUAAAAUUUCCUUCUUUCUUUCGGGUUCAGAGAAAAAGCCAAAAUUUAAAUAUCCUUCUUGCACGCCAAACCAAAUUCCAAUAAUGAAUGUUCCAACACUUACACAUUCCAUUGAGUUGAAAAAGAAAAAAUAAA